rnacentral:rRNA from 1 species
GUCCAGACUCCUACGGGAGGCAGCAGUGGGGAAUAUUGCACAAUGGGGGAAACCCUGAUGCAGCGACGCCGCGUGAGUGAAGAAGUAUUUCGGUAUGUAAAGCUCUAUCAGCAGGGAAGAUAAUGACGGUACCUGAGUAAGAAGCCCCGGCUAACUACGUGCCAGCAGCCGCGGUAAUACGUAGGGGGCAAGCGUUAUCCGGAAUUACUGGGUGUAAAGGGAGCGUAGACGGUGAAGUAAGUCUGGAGUGAAAGGCGGGGGCCCAACCCCCGGACUGCUCUGGAAACUAUUUGACUGGAGUGCAGGAGAGGUAAGCGGAAUUCCUAGUGUAGCGGUGAAAUGCGUAGAUAUUAGGAGGAACACCAGUGGCGAAGGCGGCUUACUGGACUGUAACUGACGUUGAGGCUCGAAAGCGUGGGGAGCAAACAGGAUUAGAUACCCUCGUACU